UACAGAGGAGCCAAGCGUUGUCCGGAUUGACUGGGCGUAAAGCGCACGCAGGCGGAUGCGCGCGUGGGGUGUGAAAUCUGGCCGCUUAACGGCCAGGCGCCAUCCCAUACGGCGCGUCUGGAGUGAUGCAGAGGCCGAUGGAAUUGCCGGUGUAGUGGUGAAAUGCGUAGAGAUCGGCAGGAACACCCAGGGGGAAACCAGUCGACUGGGCAUCUACUGACGCUGAGGUGCGAGAGCGUGGGGAGCGAACCGG
rnacentral:rRNA from 1 species